GCCUGGGUGGCUCAGUCGGUUGAGCAUCUGACUUCGGCUCAGGUCAUGAUCUCGCGGUUCGUGGGUUCGAGCCCCGCGUCGGGCU
rnacentral:tRNA from 1 species